GUCGCAUUUGUCAUCCACUCUUAUGAUUAUUCAGUUUGGGUUAUUUGGGAGAAAAACGAAAAAAACUGCGUCCGGAAAUUUUUCCGUCAUUGGACAUCCGGUUUUCGUCUUAUCUGUACUUUGUACAUACCAAGGAUUAUGAAUAAAGUGUAUUUGCUAUCUGCUAUCAUUUUCAAGUUUACUAUUUACGACGGUCACUGGGUUUAUUAAAUAGAGAGGGUCUAUAUAAUAUGUCAAUGACCGCCGUGGAUCGAUUAGUAAAUUAAGAGUUGAUAUUAAAAAGCGUAUACACUUUAUUUAUAGUAAUGUAUGUUCAUAAUAUAAACAUAAACGCUAACAUCAUUUAAAUCAAUUAAAAAAAUAUAUAGGAGUUUUGGAGGAAAAAUAUCUCAUAUGAGGAGCCGGGCUAGAAAAACAAUUGUCCUGUUCCAAAGUACCUAUAACUUUUAUUAUCUUUCCUGAAAUUCUCCAGUCAUUAUUUGUUUUACAAAAAUUCAUCCUACAACACUUUACAUACUUUCAACCAGGUUCUGGAUGCCCGCGAUUUCGCGGGUGUGUUCUAGUCAUUUAUAAUACGUUUACGAGGAUAAAUAUACUGAGUUACAAAGUGCUAUAUUGAUGCUUUAAAUGUAUAUUGAAAAAAAGAAGAAAUUAAUUUGGUAUGGACCUUUCUUUUAACUGAUGUAUUUUUGCUAGUUGACUGAUAAUUCAAGACUUCUCCCAACCC
rnacentral:lncRNA from 1 species